rnacentral:rRNA from 1 species
UACGGAGGGUGCAAGCAUUAAUCGGAAUUAUUGGGCGUAAAGGGCGCGUAGGCGGCUUCUUAAGUCAGGUGUGAAAUUCUGGAACUCAAUUCCAGAGCUGCACUUGAAACUGGGAGGCUAGAGGGUUUGCGGAGAAAACGGAAUUCCACAUGUAGCGGUGAAAUGCGUAGAUAUGUGGAAGAACAUCGGUGGCGAAGGCGGUUUUCUAGUGGAUACCUGACGCUGAGGCGCGAAAGCAAGGGGAGCAAACAGG